UUCGCCCAACGUCGAUCCACAAUGCUCAUAAUACGUUUCAUGUUAAGGCCCAUAAGGCCCAUAAGGCCUAUAUGCCUAUAUAUAUGCUACAGUACCCGUGGGGGUGAUUAUCUCGGCUAAUCAAGGUUAGUAACAUUUCAGACAUGCUUUCUUGUUUUGAGUAGAAAAUGAGGAGGUAAUCUUAUUCUUUGCUAUAGUCAUGGCUGCAGCAACCUCAGCCAUGGCUGGCUUCUCAUCACCAUCAACCAAUCUCAGCACGACAAGAAGCGGUAAAGAAGCUCUAAGACAAUCCUCAAUUGAAUUCCAAAAUUCUUGAGAGAAAACGAUGUCAUAUGCUUUUUUACCUGCCUCUGUUUUGGAUACCUUGGAUUGAGUGAAAACAUCACUUGAAAAUAGACCUUUCAAUGAGUUUUUGUGCUUGUGCAAACUCUUCAUGGUAAGGAAGGCAGUAGCAAAUCUAGUAGCAGCAGGUCUCACAAGAUCCAUCCCAUUUGUAUGCACCCUCAUUUCACUAAGUAUCCUCCCAUGCCUAUAAAUAAAAGUGGUGACAUGACGAGCACGAGCAAUAGGCUUCUUAAAAUCCUUCAACUUUCCUAUGUCCUCCAACAUAAGGUCCAAGCAAUGUGCCGCACAAGGAGUCCAGAACAAGGUAGGAAUCCUCUCCAUUAAAAUCUUACCUGCUGCCUUAUAAUUAGCACCAUUAUCAGUGACAAUCUGAGUAACGUUUUCCUUACCAAUCCCUUCAAUUCUCUUUUCUAACAAGUCUGCAAGCAUCACUGCACUGUGUGACUCAUUUGAUGCAUCAACUGACUCCAAGAAAAAUGUUCCUUGAGGGUUGUUAACAAGGAAAUUGAUCAAAUGGCGACCUCUUUUGUUUGUCCAACCAUCAGACAUGAGUGUGCAACCAUAUUGGCUCCAUGCUUCCUCAUGCUUCUUCCUCUCAUCAUCUAUGUCUUUGACAGCCCUAGCAAGUAAAGGCUCACGUAGCUCAUGGAAAGUAGGAGGCUUGAAACCAGAUCCAUAUUGAGCAAUAGCCUCCACAGCUACCUCAAAUUGCCUUGAGUUCGCAGCAUUGAAUGGUAUACCACACUCAUAGAAAAACUUGGCAAUCUCCAAACAAACAGAAUUUCUUUCUUCCUUAGGCUUCAUGGUAGCACUUAUGGUAGUUUGAGCAGGUCCAUUUGCAUGUCUCUCUGCUACAACCUCUUGAGGUGUACGUCGAACCAUAGAUGCAACUGACUUCUUUGGAGCUGCAAUUGGGUGGGGCUUCAAUUGGAAUAUUGCUUUGUUUCUUUUGGCAGCUGUUCCAGAACUUGGCACAGUACAUGAGGAAGCCUUGGAUGAUGCUGACAUUGACCUGCUUCCCAUAACUUGGACAUCAUCUUCUUGUCCUGCUUCAUCUUCCAUUACAUCGUCAUCUAGGUACAACGGCCUAGCCCGCUUCCCAUGAUUCAAAGCUUCAUUCAUCUCUUUAGCAAUCUCUCUAGUAGUGUUAGGACACUUGACAAUGUCUCCAUAGCCACCAGCUAGAUGUUGUUUCACCCUCUUGAUACCUCCUUUUAUUUGUUUGGGGCACAAAGCACAUUGAAUCAGCUCUCGCUUUCCCGCCUCAACAUAGUAAGCAUAUUUCCAUCCUGGAUCAUUUGACUUUGGCCUUCGUGACUGAUAUUUGAGUGGGUCAUAGGAGUCAUUAGCCUCGCUAUUUGUUGCCAUUGCAAUUGAAAUUCACUGCCACACAGCCCACACUUUAACCUGCAACAGUGCAACACACAAUGGAAUGAACAUCAGCAGCCCACAGCCACACAGCCACAGUGGAAUUCACUGCCACACAGCCAGCCCACACUUUGCAAUUGAAAUUCGUUGCUGGGUUGUGAUGCUAAGCAGUUUAAAUUCGUUGCUGGGUUGCUGGGUUGUUAUACUUAGCAGUUUUAACACAGGGAAUCAGCAGCCAAGACAGCCAAGGGAUUCUGGACUCUGGACUUCUGGAGGGCGGCCGAUAGCGACAACAUACCUGGAGGGAGGAGGGAGGAGGGAGGAUGGAGGAGGGGGCGACAUACCUGGAGCGUGGAGAGCGGAUGACGUCUGGGCGGUCUGGCGGCUGGAGCGGCUGCGUCUGGCGGCUGGGCGUGCGCAAGCCUUUGGCUUUGCUCCUGGGCGUUGGAUAGCAGGCCGGCUGGGUGGGUAAAUGACUUAAGGCGGCCCAUUAAGGCCCACUAGUAUACAUCGCGUAGAACGUCCACAAAACAGGAAAAACGUCCAGAACGGACGUUCUGACGUUUUAACGUCGUUUAAACGUCCAGAACGGACGUUCUACGCUGUUUUUGAUUUGAAAAACGUGCAGACGUUCCAGCCUCUAAUCACGUUUUAGCGUUUAAACGACGCUUAAUCGUCGUUUAAACGACGUUUUAAUAACAAUGUCCCCAGCAUUUUUGCAGGUAAUUAAUAGAAGUUUUCCUAUUAAAUAUAUAGUGCAGGUACCCGUAUUAGGGGUGGUAAUGGAUCGCGAUCCAAAUGUUCCUUCACAAAUUCUUAGGGCCCUAAAUAAAUUUUAGUUCAAAAAUGAAUAGAAAUAGAGCCUGACCCUAAUCUGAUCCGAUUCUUAAAUUUUAUAGUGUAAAAUUUAGAACCUAUUGUCACCCCUAACCUGUAUACACUCAGGGAUUGGUACUACUUACUCAGCAUAUGUUUAGUCUGAUGAGCAGUGUUUUUCCUUUUCAUUUGGAUAUGGUAACAUCUCAACUAUUUUUUUAUGUUGUCUUGUAUCUUGGGCUGUAUAUACCUUGGUUUGACAUCCCUCUUACUGGAGUCCAGUAUUCUCCCUUGUUUGUUUCCAACGGUUCCUUCCUGAUUAGCUAUAUACUAUUAACCUAAUUAGUUAGAACUAAAAUGCAGAUCUAGAUACAAUUUGAUAUUUUGAUAUGUACUUCAGUGUGUUUGGGAACAUCUAUGUUUUUCUUUGUUUAAAUACACAAAAAUGUCUUUCAACUAAGUGAGUGUUUGAAUGCA